GAUGAACGCUGGCGGUGUGCUUAACACAUGCAAGUCGAACGGAAAGGCUCCUGCUUGCUGGGGUGCUCGAGUGGCGAACGGGUGAGUAACACGUGGGUAAUCUGCCCUGCACUUCGGGAUAAGCCUAGGAAACUGGGUCUAAUACCGGAUAGGACGCUGGUUUGGAUGCCAUGGUGGAGAGUUUUUCGGUGUGGAUGAGCGCGCGGCCUAUCAGCUUGUUGGUGGGGUAGUGGCCUACCAAGGCGGCGACGGGUAGCCGGCCUGAGAGGGUGUACGGCCACAUUGGGACUGAGAUACGGCCCAGACUCCUACGGGAGGCAGCAGGGGGGAAUAUUGCACAAUGGGCGCAAGCCUGAUGCAGCGACGCCGCGUGGGGGAUGACGGCCUUCGGGUUGUAAACUGCUUUCGCUAGGGACGAAGCGGAAGUGACGGUACCUGGAGAAGAAGCACCGGCUAACUACGUG
rnacentral:rRNA from 1 species